rnacentral:rRNA from 1 species
GAUAAACGCUGGCGGCGUGCCUAAGACAUGCAAGUCGAACGGAGAAUUAGCAAUAGUUCUUAGUGGCGAAUGGGUGAGUAACGCGUUGGUGACCUGCCCCAAAGUGAGGGAUAACAACUCGAAAGGGUUGCUAAUACCACAUGUGGUUUUCGGAUUUAGAAACCGAUUACUAAAGGAGUAAUUCGCUUUGGGAGGGGCCUGCGUCCCAUCAGCUAGUUGGUAAGGUAAUGGCUUACCAAGGCUAUGACGGGUAGGGGACCUGAGAGGGUGGCCCCCCACAUUGGCACUGAAACACGGGCCAAACACCUACGGGAGGCUG